rnacentral:rRNA from 1 species
UAAAGUGGCGUACGGGUGAGUAACACGUGGAUCAUCUACCUCGAAGUGGGGAAUACCGAUGGGAAACCGUCGACAAUACCGCAUAAGCUCGAGAGAGGAAAGCCGAAAGGCGCUUCGAGAGGAGUCCGCGGCCGAUUAGCUAGUUGGCAGGGUAAAAACCUACCAAGGCAACGAUCGGUAGCCGGCCUGAGAGGGCACACGGCCACACUGGCACUGAAACACGGGCCAG